rnacentral:rRNA from 1 species
AGUGAACGCUGGCGGUAGGCCUAACACAUGCAAGUCGAACGGCAGCACAGUAAGAGCUUGCUCUUACGGGUGGCGAGUGGCGGACGGGUGAGGUAUACAUCGGAAUCUACUUUUUCGUGGGGGAUAACGUAGGGAAACUUACGCUAAUACCGCAUACCACCUACGGGUGAGAGCAGGGGAUCUUCGGACCUUGCGCGAUUGAAUGAGCCGAUGUCGGAUUAGCUAGUUGGCGGGGUAAAGGCCCACCAAGGCGACGAUCCGUAGCUGGUCUGAGAGGAUGAUCAGCCACACUGGAACUGAGACACGGUCCAGACUCCUACGGGAGGCAGCAGUGGGGAAUAUUGGACAAUGGGCGCAAGCCUGAUCCAGCCAUACCGCGUGGGUGAAGAAGGCCUUCGGGUUGUAAAGCCCUUUUGUUGGGAAAGAAAAGCAGCAGGUUAAUACCCCGCUGUUCUGACGGUACCCAAAGAAUAAGCACCGGCUAACUUCGUG